AAGACUAUACUUUCAGGGAUCAUUUCUAUAGUAUGUUACAAAUAUUUAUUAUAGGAUGGGGGGGGUGGCUCAGGCCACGUGGAGUCAGCCGACAAUGGC
rnacentral:snoRNA from 1 species